GGGCGCGCGCAGCUUGAAAUCGACCCUCCCUUACAAGGAGGAUGUCGGCGGUUCGAACCCGUCAGCGCCCACCA
rnacentral:tRNA from 1 species